rnacentral:rRNA from 2 species
GGUUAAGCGACUAAGCGUACACGGUGGAUGCCCUGGCAGUCAGAGGCGAUGAAGGGCGUGCUAAUCUGCGAUAAGCGCCGGUAAGGUGAUAUGAACCGUUAUAACCGGCGAUACCCGAAUGGGGAAACCCAGUGUGACUCGUCACACUAUCAUUAACUGAAUCCAUAGGUUAAUGAGGCGAACCGGGGGAACUGAAACAUCUAAGUACCCCGAGGAAAAGAAAUCAACCGAGAUUCCCCCAGUAGCGGCGAGCGAACGGGGAGGAGCCCAGAGCCUGAAUCAGCAUGUGUGUUAGUGGAAGCGUCUGGAAAGGCGCGCGAUACAGGGUGACAGCCCCGUACACAAAAGCGCAUGUGCUGUGAGCUCGAUGAGUAGGGCGGGACACGUGGUAUCCUGUCUGAAUAUGGGGGGACCAUCCUCCAAGGCUAAAUACUCCUGACUGACCGAUAGUGAACCAGUACCGUGAGGGAAAGGCGAAAAGAACCCCGGCGAGGGGAGUGAAAAAGAACCUGAAACCGUGUACGUACAAGCAGUGGGAGCACCCUUUGGGUGUGACUGCGUACC